rnacentral:lncRNA from 10 species
UCAACUUUCCUGACACUGCUCCCUCCUGGUGUCCCUCUUAGCUCUUCAAUCACUCCUACCCCUGGCAUAACUGUUUCUUACCCCCUGAGCUGUGAGUCUUCAGUGGGGUCCUCUCACUGUAUACCCUCUCCCUAGGUGGGCUCCACACCGCUGGUAUCCAGCACCAUCCGUGCCGUGAUGCCCCAUCACUCUCCUGAGCUCCAGACCUGAGUAUCCCGAAGGAUUCUGCUCUCCCCUACUCAGGAUCAUGCCACCAUCCCCCAUCACCCUCGGAGUAAAAUUCUCGCCCCUGCAGCACCAGGGCCCUGCUCAUCUUGGCCACUCCUCUCUCCUACGCUCUGAGCUCUCUCACCAUCCUCCUGCCCCACCAUCCCUACUCGAAACCACUCACCUCCCUCCUACCCUCUCCACACACUGUCCAUCCUCCCUGGCAAACUCCUAUUCAUCUGCAGGAACCUGCUAAGACUGCCCCUCCUCCUGGAACCCUUUCCCACACCUGAGGCUCCAUCCAGCCCCUCAGCCUCCUCCAGGGGAGCACACGUGACACCAGAUGGAGUUUCCUGUUGCCCCGCUGGCCUGUUUCACCAGACCGUGAGUUCACAGAGGAGCAGCGACUGAGGCUCUGUGUUCAUUCAUUCAUCAGAUGUUUAUCGAUGCCCGUGGCACAGCAAACAAGACCGUGCCAAGCAGGUGGUGGAGUGGUGAGCGAGAUACCCUGGGAACCUAGCAUGUGGUGGGAAGAGGGC